rnacentral:rRNA from 1 species
GCGACCCCAGGUCAGGCGGGAUCA